ACACAGAGCCAGUUCCUUCCUUCUGCAACUGGGAAACUCAGCAAGAGCAGGGAGCUCGCUCACAAGAUGGAGGCUGCAGAUUACCACAGUGGGCUACGCGUUUCUGCCGUGCUUACAACGCAGGUCUGUGGCUACUUCCUCACCCACUGAUCCUGUGCUUUGCACUUACAGCCAUGCCAGAUGGAAAACUUGGGCAGUGUGAACACACAUUUUUUGGCUGCACAUAGAACUUUUUUGGUACUCAAUGUCUUUCUGAGGCUCCAAUCAGGAAUAUGCUGAGUGUCUGCACAAGUUUCAUCGAAAAGGCGACUUUCAUUUACCAGGGUGGUUGGCUCACUGUAAAAAUAUGUAUACUUCAAAACACAUUUACACACAUUUAACCUCCAGGGCAGAACACAAACUAAGUUAGCUGACGUAAGUUUCGUUCUAAGUUUUAAUUUAAUAAAUUUUCUCUGUUUCCCUUUAUAAAAUGCUGUGGUAACCCUACUAUGAGGGGUCUAUUUGAUUAUGAUGUUUGAAGGAAAGUAUUUGCAUUCCCUUCAAACAAUUAUGCAUGCGACAUUUCAUGUGAAGUCAUACCUAUGAAGACAAUUUAUUUUUCAGACAAAAAGAGGAAAAAAUGUUCCCAGAACAUAACACCAAUUAGAUAAAUUACGCCAUUGGUGACAAAGUUACCCAAAAAAAAAGAUUUUACAAAAUUAUUUAGUAAGAAAUAUGUGGCUAGCCUGCCAUCGCCAUGAGCAAUAACAAAGCAACAAGCUUGUACAUGUCACUGGUGUGAGCAGACUAGACAGUAACGCCAGUGACAGGAACACCAGUGACAACAUUAUCAAAACAGAGGCUUUUCCAAAAUGGCUGCCACAUGUUGUCAGAUCUAUGAAAUUUAUUUGAUAAAAAUAAAAAUUACUGAGCAUACAGUGCACCUAACACCAGUGACGAACAUAAAAUGCUGAGCCCAGUGAGAAUGUAGGAUAUAGUGAAACUGAUAAAAUAUGGAGAGCGUUGCCCGGUCCCCAUUCACAUCCUAAUCACUCUGCUUACACACUAACACUCAUUCUGCACGUUCACGAGAGUCGCCAUCUUGUACAAGGGGUGUCCUAGAACUCUGAGCCAAAUUUCAGCGAGGGGCAACGGCUGUUCGGCCCUGUGACGCUGCCUAAAUAAUGAGGAAAUGAAAGCACUGGCUUUAAAGUGAGUGCUGACCCAGCAGGCCUUGCGUUGGUUAAUGUCAUUACCAGAGUCGUUAAAGCAAGGCAGAGAUAACCACGUUUAAAUGCAACUUGACUGCCAUCUAAUGCCUUUUAAUGCCUUAUAAAAUUAUCAUCUUCGCAGUAUUGUCUUGUUUGUAAAUGAUGUCUCAAAUGAUGCUCAUUUCCUCAAUUAGUGUACUGAUAACACAAAUCUAAAUUGUGAUAAUCAUUAUCUGUAAUGCAAAUGUGGCGGUUCAAAGUAUCUCACAGUGCCCAACUGUUAAGUGAUAUUCUUUUAGUGGUGAUGAUUUUCACUGAUAAUAAUUCAUUCUUUGUAAAUUCCGACUCGUCGGAGCAGACCAUGUCCUGCACACAUGCUGCUUUGCUCCCGGUUGUCUCGAUGCCUGCCCUCGCUUGUAAGUGGCCCUUAAAAUGAAGCGUAUCUCGAAACAGAGGGAGAGUGAUUAGGAGGUGAACUGGGCCCGGGGGUUUGUGUGGACCUUCUCUGACCUUGACAAGCUCAUCCCCCACUGACCAUUUGUCACAGGAGGCAGUUCAUAAUGGUGUACGUUAUUGAAACAGACAUUUCUCACUGUGGCAACACCAGUGACAUGAACUGUAUAAACAAAGUAGUUUUUAAUUGAUUAUUUACGGAUUAAUUGAUCAUAACACAGAUUUAUUUUUCACCGUCCACCUGUAUAAAUAUACUCAAAGAAUUUCUGAAUUUAAAAAAUAUAUAAUUUAAGUAUUUUUUUCCAUCGCUGCUACAGCAGGAACUCACAUUGCCACUCCAGAUGAAGAAUGACCCUGAUAUGCUAUUAUUUAUAUUUCAACAUCGUGCAAUUCUUGUAAAACCAGCAUUUAAAUAAAUUUAACCCACUGCCAUGAUGACUUGUAAUUUCUGAUUGCCAAGGUGUACAGUCACAUGAAUUUAACAUACUUCACAGCGGGAACGCCUCUUGGCUUCAAUUUGGGUGAUCUUUACUUCCGCACAUUAUAUAUUUCCUCGAACCAUUACCUCAUCAAAUGAUGUAACCUGAUCACAAGCAUUACAACUUACCAUGUGACCUACACAUAACUCACAAUAUGCUUUUGUCUACAUAAAAUUCAAACAUUUGGGUAACAGUAUAUUUUCAAAAUGAAAAUACAUAAAAUACGCUCCUAAAUAAAAUACGCUUUUAAAAACACUAAGAUACUGCACUCAUACAGAAAUAUAAUCAUGCUUCUAAAUAAAAUGAAUGUACCAAACAUUGCGUGCCUCAUCCUGUCAUCUAAUAAUAAUCUUAACCAUAUAAGCGUGAAUCUGUAAAUUCAAGAGUGCACUGAAAAUACAUGGCAUACUAAGAGGUCUGGUUUCCACUUUAUAUGGCUAUAUUCAGAAAAUUUACUUAACUGUGGCUGCGGGAUCCUGUGGAGAGAGGAUAUUCUGGACCUAGAUUUCAAGUAUUCACUGUAACUUUAUACAGAGGACGCAUAUGACUACACAAUAUAUAGUGUGAAAAUCAUAAGUGAUCCCAACUGUAGUUUGUGCUCCCAGACGCUGUUGGUGCAUUCUUUAAUAUGAUUUCUGAAUGCCCGGAUGUGAUAAAGUUUUGGGAGAUGGUCGCUUCUCGGCUUUCUGAAUAGUUAUCAGUGAACAUACCCCUUUCUCCCUCUGGGUGGACAACUAAAGGCCUAUCCAUGUUACACGUUUCACAAGCAAAAAAACGGAUCUUGCUCACUGGCCUGACAGCUGCAAAGAAAAUGGUUGCCACACUUUGAAAGUAUCCUUGUUCUUUUUCUUUUCAGAAAUGGGCUUUAACUAUCGUGGACAUGGUUUAUUUUGAGCUUUUUACAGCCCGUAUUCAUGGUGACAAAGUCAACAUGUCAAUUUGUGAACUUCUAUUUACGUUUAUCUUAAGAAUAUUGUGAAAGUGCCUUUUUCUUUUUUUACCUUGUGUCUUCAUGUCUCUAGGGUGGGUGGGUUGUUGAUGCUGUUUUUAACACAAAUAUUGCAAUAAUCGAAAUAAAAUCACAAUAAAAGACUACACGGCACACACGGGAUAAAGAAACAGUAGUCUAGUAGCCCAUCUAGUGGCUAGGACCAAGUACUACCACAUAAAUUAAUUUGACAUUACAUGAACAAUUUCAGAGACUAAUUAAUCUGACCAUGGUGAAUUAAUGAUUGCCAAAUCCUCUGGAAUUACAUUUCAUAGGAUACACAAACAAUAAUCCAAGCCACAGCUUCAUACAUCUUGACCCAUAUAGAGAACGGACAUUCCAUGCUAUCCAUAAGUGUGGAACUGGUGUCAGGUUUAGGGUAUCCACAGGUGGAUUUUGAAUAUUUAUUUGGAUUCCUCAUGUCUGAAAAAUUAUCAGGAUGACGUUUGGUCUAAAUUAGAUUCAGGAAACUGUAUUUACAGAAUAUUAUAUGAAUCCUAUGAAAUAAAAGUGUUCAAUUUACAUCCCAUCAAUAAGCUAAUAUUGACAAACAGUAAAUAUUUUUCUACAAUCUAACGUUGAAGGAGUGGACAAAGCGUGUCUUAAGUGCUAACUGAAUUUGCAACAGAAAAGUUGUCUGGGGAAAAAACAAGGCUGCCACAGGAUUAUAAUUUUCAUUGCGCCUUCGAUAAUGUUGAUGCGACACUGGGUCAGGCCUUUGGGGUUUCAGUACAGGGACGUAACCUACGUAAUAAAUAUAGCGGGUAAUGUGUCAGUCAAAUACAGUGCUGUGAAGAUUAAAACUGAUGACGUCACAAAGGCGAUAAUAUUAAAAAGUAUGUUUUCAUCAGAUAACGUGGGUUCAAAGAUUAAUCAGGUCUCUUCUUCCUGGCCAAUGGAAAAGUACAAAAUAAAUUGGGGUGUUUUCUUUUACAGGCUGGGAUUUCUGAUUCCAUAUUUAGGGUAAGUUUUGGGGAAAGUGCAGAACCAGGGGAAGCCUGUGUCCCACAUGCAGGACUGGGACGAGAGGAGGGGGGCUCAGAGACACUGCAAAUCCCCAGAGCAGCAAAACCAGGAGCCACAAAACAGAAGUCAGAUUCUCAUACCAGGGAUUGGGGAGAAGGGCUUGAUGACCCCCACCCCCACCCCUACACACAGCCUGAUCUUAUUAUUUUUUUGUGUCUGGACGUCCACUCAUUUCCCGCGGAUUCACAAGCUGCAACACGAGAUGCACGCGAGGCUGCCGACCGCAUGGGGAGGAAGAGGAGGAGAAGGAAGAAGAGGAUUUCCUUGGGAGGAUAAAAGAAAAAGAAAAUGAGUGGAGGGUUAAAAUGAAAAAGGGAAGCGGGACACGGCGAAGGGAUACUGGCGAGCAGGGAACGCUGGGAGAAAAGGGGGCGGGGUUUGAAAUCCCGAGGCGGAGUCGCAUGGAGCAGUCAGAUGGCCGAGCUGAGCCAGGCUACAGGCCGCUACGCAAACUGCGUCCUCCUUACGGCGGACACGGCGAAACAAUCACAGCGAAAUGCUACUCAUUACAUUGCACUACAGGCAUUUAGCAGACGCUCUUAUCCAGAGCGACUUACACAACUUUUACAUAGCAUUUUACAUACAGCUGGAUAUAUACUGAAGCAAUGCAGGUUAAGUACCUUGCUCAAGGGUACAACGGCAGUGUCCUACCCGGGAAUCGAACCUGCGACCUUUCGGUUACAAGCCCAGUUCCACUACUCAGCUUCAUGUAGUCUUAACAGGGACGUGUACUCACGACUCAUAAGGUCGGAUUCCAAUAUUAUGAUGUUGUAGCACAGCGUACAGACAGUUCCAUCCCAGGCUGAGUACAUCUUUACUUCACAGUGUUUACUGAACCUGAGAUAGAUCCACAGAAGGUGCUCAGUGCAUACCCUGCUCUUUGAAUGAUAACGCAGACUUACAGCACCUGUUCCACCUCUGAUCUCACCUACCUCCACCUGUACAGCUGGAAAGACAUGCAGGUAGACACAGACAGAUGGCUCUUUAGAUCACCCUUUAGUAUCUUAGAAAUGUUCUGUGAAUCCCAGCUUGCGUCUCCAUUAUAGUCACAACACAAGACAAAAAAGAGAUUGAGUGUAUGGUCCCCACAGAUCAAUGCAAAGAUACAGAAGACAGGUAAAUACUGAUGACCAAGCCAACAAGACUAACUUAUGUAUUGAUAUUAAUCAAUAUUAAUAACACAGGUGCUCUGCUUGUGCUUUAUGGCCCUAGAAUGACCACUUAUUCCCCCUGUAGUUUAAAAUAGAGCAAAUAAAACAGCACCAAGCUUGCACACUUACUGUCCCUGCACUUUAAACCAAGUGAAUAAAAUGAGCUGCAAACAAAA